GGGUUGUGAGGUUAAGCGAAUAAGCGUACACGGUGGAUGCCUAGGCAGUCAGAGGCGAUGAAGGACGUGCUAAUCUGCGAUAAGCGCCGGUAAGGUGAUAUGAACCGUUAUAACCGGCGAUUUCCGAAUGGGGAAACCCAGUGCAAUUCGUUGCACUAUCAUUACCUGAAUACAUAGGGUAAUGAAGCGAACCGGGAGAACUGAAACAUCUAAGUACCCCGAGGAAAAGAAAUCAAACGAGAUUCCCCCAGUAGCGGCGAGCGAACGGGGAGCAGCCCAGAACCUUAAUCACUAUCAGCAUCAGGAGAACAGUCUGGAAAGGCUGGCCGCAGCAGGUGAUAGCCCUGUAUCCGAAGGUGUUGGUAGUGUGAGUUCGAUGAGUAAGGCGGGACACGUGUUAUCCUGUCUGAAUAUGGGGGGACCAUCCUCCAAGGCUAAAUACUCCUGACUGACCGAUAGUGAACCAGUACCGUGAGGGAAAGGCGAAAAGAACCCCGGCGAGGGGAGUGAAAAAGAACCUGAAACCGUGUACGUACAAGCAGUGGGAGCACCCUUCGGGGUGUGACUGCGUACCUUUUGUAUAAUGGGUCAGCGACUUAUAUUCUGUAGCAAGGUUAACCGAAUAGGGGAGCCGCAGGGAAACCGAGUCUUAACUGGGCGAAUUAGUUGCAGGGUAUAGACCCGAAACCCGGUGAUCUAGCCAUGGGCAGGUUGAAGGUUGGGUAACACUAACUGGAGGACCGAACCGACUAAUGUUGAAAAAUUAGCGGAUGACUUGUGGCUGGGGGUGAAAGGCCAAUCAAACCGGGAGAUAGCUGGUUCUCCCCGAAAGCUAUUUAGGUAGCGCCUCGUGAAUUCAUCUCCGGGGGUAGAGCACUGUUUCGGCUAGGGGGUCAUCCCGACUUACCAACCCGAUGCAAACUGCGAAUACCGGAGAAUGUUAUCACGGGAGACACACGGCGGGUGCUAACGUUCGUCGUGAAGAGGGAAACAACCCAGACCGCCGGCUAAGGUCCCAAAGUCAUAAUUAAGUGGGAAACGAAGUGGGAAGGCUCAGACAGCCAGGAUGUUGGCUUAGAAGCAGCCAUCAUUUAAAGAAAGCGUAAUAGCUCACUGGUCGAGUCGGCCUGCGCGGAAGAUGUAACGGGGCUAAAUUAUGCACCGAAGCCGCGGCAGCGAUAUGUAAAUAUUGUUGGGUAGGGGAGCGUUCUGUAAGCCUGUGAAGGUGUGCUGUGAGGCAUGCUGGAGGUAUCAGAAGUGCGAAUGCUGACAUAAGUAACGAUAAUGCGGGUGAAAAACCCGCACGCCGGAAGACCAAGGGUUCCUGUCCAACGUUAAUCGGGGCAGGGUGAGUCGACCCCUAAGGCGAGGCUGAAAAGCGUAGUCGAUGGGCAACGGGUUAAUAUUCCCGUACUGGUGGUAACUGCGAAGGGGGGACGGAGAAAGCUAAAUCAUCCGGGCGACGGUUGUCCCGGUUUAAGCGUGCAGGUGGACUGACCAGGCAAAUCCGGUCGGUUGUUAACACUGAGGCGUGACGACGAGCCACUACGGUGGUGAAGUGAUUGAUGCUCUGCUUCCGGGAAAAGCCUCUAAGCUCCAGGUUACCAUUAAUCGUACCCCAAACCGACACAGGUGGUCAGGUAGAGAAUACUCAGGCGCUUGAGAGAACUCGGGUGAAGGAACUAGGCAAAAUGGUGCCGUAACUUCGGGAGAAGGCACGCUGGCAUUAGGUGAAGUGGUUUACCCAUGGAGCUGAAGCCAGCCGCAGAUACCAGCUGGCUGCAACUGUUUAUUAAAAACACAGCACUGUGCAAACACGAAAGUGGACGUAUACGGUGUGACGCCUGCCCGGUGCCGGAAGGUUAAUUGAUGAGGUCAGCCGCAAGGCGAAGCUUCUGAUCGAAGCCCCGGUAAACGGCGGCCGUAACUAUAACGGUCCUAAGGUAGCGAAAUUCCUUGUCGGGUAAGUUCCGACCUGCACGAAUGGCGUAAUGAUGGCCAGGCUGUCUCCACCCGAGACUCAGUGAAAUUGAACUCGCUGUGAAGAUGCAGUGUACCCGCGGCAAGACGGAAAGACCCCGUGAACCUUUACUAUAGCUUGACACUGAACAUUGAGCCUUGAUGUGUAGGAUAGGUGGGAGGCAACGAAG
rnacentral:rRNA from 1 species